rnacentral:rRNA from 1 species
CCUACGGGUGGCAGCAGUGAGGAAUAUUGGUCAAUGGACGAGAGUCUGAACCAGCCAAGUAGCGUGAAGGAUGACUGCCCUAUGGGUUGUAAACUUCUUUUAUAUGGGAAUAAAAUGUUCCACGUGUGGGAUUUUGUAUGUACCAUAUGAAUAAGGAUCGGCUAAUUCCGUGCCAGCAGCCGCGGUAAUACGGAGGAUCCGAGCGUUAUCCGGAUUUAUUGGGUUUAAAGGGAGCGUAGGUGGAGUGUUAAGUCGGUUGUGAAAGUUUGCGGCUCAACCGUAACAUUGCAGUUCAAACUGGCAGUCUUGAGUGCAGUGGAGGUGGGCGGAAGUCGUGGUGUAGCGGUGAAAUGCGUAGAUAUCACGAAGAACUCCGAUUGCGAAGGCAGUUCACUGGACUGCAACUGACGCUGAGGCUCGAAAGUGUGGGUAUCAAACAGGAUUAGAUACCCGUGUAGUC